rnacentral:ncRNA from 2 species
UACGUAGGGGGCGAGCGUUGUCCGGAUUUAUUGGGCGUAAAGAGCUCGUAGGCGGUUACGGAAGUCGGGUGUGAAAGACCGGGGCUUAACCCCGGGGUGUCAUUCGAUACUCCGUUGACUUGAGUCCGGUAGGGGAAGGUGGAAUUCCUGGUGUAGCGGUGAAAUGCACAGAUAUCAGGAGGAACACCGGUGGCGAAGGCGGCCUUCUGGGCCGGUACUGACGCUGAGGAGCGAAAGCUAGGGGAGCGAACAGG